rnacentral:rRNA from 1 species
GACGAACGCUGGCGGCGUGCUUAACACAUGCAAGUCGAGCGGAAAGGCCCCUUCGGGGGUACUCGAGCGGCGAACGGGUGAGUAACACGUGGGUAAUCAACCCCUGACAUCGGGAUACCCCGGGGAAACCCGGAUCAAUACCGGAUAAGGUGCGGAGGCGCAGGCCGCCGUACCAAAGGUAGCUUCGGCUUCCGGUCAGGGACGAGCCCGCGGCCCAUUAGCUUGUUGGUGGGGUAACGGCCCACCAAGGCGACGGUGGGUAGCUGGUCUGAGAGGACGAUCAGCCACACUGGGACUGAGACACGGCCCAGACUCCUACGGGAGGCAGCAGGGGGGAAUCUUGCGCAAUGGGCGGAAGCCUGACGCAGCAACGCCGCGUGCGGGAAGAAGGCCCUAGGGUCGUAAACCGCUUUCAGGGGGGACGAAGCUUCCGGGGUUAAUAGCCUACGGGGUGACGGUACUCCCAGAAGAAGGUCCGGCUAACUACGUGCCAGCAGCCGCCGUAA